GGACCAUCCAUCCAGCCCAGGAUAAGCAGUGGCAAAAGGUGAUAACCAUAGCGCCUCCGAUGCUCACCAAAGUCCCUAGAACUUUCACUAAACCAUCCAUCCUCGCAACAUUCACUUGCUCAAUCCUGAAACCAUCACACAAGGUUAAGCUCUCAGUCUCAUCCUAUCUGUAACUUUUAAAUUUACUAGAAUCUGUGUUCUGUCGUUACCUCAAAACAGACGCCAUGAUAAAGGUCAGUGCUGGUACUGUGUUCUGCAGUGCUGAUACAAAGGUUGGUGAUGCAUAAUACAAACCUAGUAUGUAGAACACCUGGUUUGCUGUGAUUCUGGAAAUGAGAAAACACCAAUUUUUUUGUUAAUAGGAAGAUGAGAUAAGUAGUUAAAAAUCGAGGUGGUUUGUGUUGAUGUGUAGUCGAACUCACCCCACUAAUGCAAGUAGGAAGAACUCGGCCAACAAUGAGAAUGUGAGAGGUGUUCUCUCCUUCCUGUAGAUAAGAUUGUGUAAGAUAUUUAGGGAACAUUUUUGUGUAGAUAAUAAUUAUACAUUUAGAAUAUUUAAGAAACUCACUUUUCCAUGAAGUAGGCAAAAGGCCCUACCAAUAUCAAUGCAAUAAUGUUUCUGUAAAUAGGAUAUACAAUCUUGCUAACACCAAUGUUGAGAGCAACUCUCGAGACUAUGUGAAACCCGGCAAAGCAUAGCUGCAGAACUAUCAAUGAUGCCACGAGCUUAGCUCGUUCAGAGACGACGAUUCCCUGUGCCAUAUCGUCGUUUGUGUUUGUGUGUUGUCUUUGUCUAUGCUGUGUCUAUGUAUAUAUAUAUACAUGGACAAAUAUGCAAAGCAUGAAUUUUUUUAGUGUGGCAUGUAUUAUUUGAUAGAGAAGAUGGUGGUUAGCAAAUUGGAGAAUAAUGAUUGAAUAUGAUUAUGAGCAAAUGUAUGUGAAUUAUUAGUGCAAUGUAUUAGCUGCAAUGAUAAUUGAGUUUAUCUAAAUCUAAUUUGAUAUGUUGACUUGAAAUUGAAAUUUGUUAGGGAGACAGAGAGUCUGUUGCCCAUGUUGGGCAGGUAGUGAAGGGAAAAAGAUCAAUAUUGGGUUUUUGCAAAUUAUUGAUAUUAUUUUAUUUGAAUAGUUUGUCUGCAAAUUAUUGAUGGUUAUGAUCAAUCAUUUUGCAAAGAUUUCAACUUUGUCGGGAGCUCAAUUUGUCCAGCAACUGCAGUCGGGAUUAUAUUUUAUUUGAGGCUUAAUAGUGUUCUAUGUUCCAAACUUUCAGCGUAAUUCAUCAC